CAGAGGCACUAUUUAAACAUGUUGAUGAAUUGAGCUGAAUUUCUCCCCACCUCCAUUCCAGCAAAACAAGGAGGCUCAGAAGAUAUAUAUUUUUUUUUUUGUUAUUGCAAGUAGUGCUAUGUGGGGCACAAGAAGCUGGGCAGGGAGGGGGCACAGCCAAGGAAGCUGAUCCAAUCUGGCCAAAGCGAUAUUCCAUAUCAUAUGAUGUCACGUCCAGUAUAUUAACUGGGACGAGUUGGCUGAGGAAAGCAGCGAUCGCGGCUCGGGGACCGGCAGCAUCGGUCGGCAUGUGAUUUGCCUUGAUUCUCCAGGUCCAGCUGAGGUUUACAGAACAAGCGAUAGCCCACCCCAGAAGUCAGUGGCAGAAGGCCCAAGCACUAAGAUGAAAAUUUCUGUCUUCAGCUCUUUUUGAAUGGUUUGAGCAUGACCUUUCUGAUGGGAGCGUGUAGAGCCACCUACUCACUGCACAGGGAAUGGGCAUCUCCUGCUUAAUGGAAAUGCUUAAGUCCAGACUGUGUGUGCGCCAGAAGAUGCUUGAGUGUUUCCAGCUGGAUGGGGUGUGGUGGGUACUGCUCUGCAGCAGGCAGCAGUAGCUUGGUGGGAGCCACGAGGUGUCCCUGCAUGGCUGCGAGGGGUCACUGCCACGCACACCUGGAUGGGAUCCUGUGGACAUGCCCACCCUGCAUUGAAUCACCUGGCGCUGGGGUGUCCCAGCCCUGACCAUCCCUUUGAGUCAGGUCAGCUGCUUGGAGCAGAAAAGAUGAGGAACUGGUGGGAGUUCCCUGGAAAACCAUUGGGGUGGGGAAAUGGUAUCUGGCUGAGCUUCUGCAGGAUGUUUAUCAGAGUCUGUGGCACAUAAAUUGCUUCCAGAUCUAAGCCAGAUAUGGAAACAAGUCAGGUGCUUUUGAGCUGUGCUGCAUUUAGAGGGGUAAUUCAGCAGCUUCAGCUUGCUGCUGCAUCUGCAAGUGGGUGGUGACCUGCCAGGGUCUUUGCUGCUUAUGCAGCAGGUUAAUCCGUUGCUUGGCCACUGGCUGCCCACAGCUGCCAGCGAGUUGACUACAAGCCCCUCUUCUAUCUGGAUGCCUCUCAUAAUGGAUGCUUUCCAACUAGAAAGAUACAAACAUGCUAGUGUGCUGUAUUAGGCAUAAAAGAGAGCUACCUGAUAGGAAUUAGACACUCACUGACACCUUUUCCAUUUUUAGCAUUAUAAAACACAGACAGUUAUCUGCAUGAUAAAAAGGAGGAAAAGGUUACAAUAUUAUUGCAGCAUAAGAUUAUGCUUCUCUUUUAUGGCGAAGUUUUAUUUUCAUUUUACUGUGAACAGUGGGGUUAUGUAUUAACGUAAUGGGUAAAUAUUUUUUAACAAAUUUAAAGCAUACUUAAUCUGUGGAACUCAUUCCAAUAGGAAGUUACAGAAACCACAAAUAAAAAUGACUUAAUAAUGACAAAUUAAUGACUAAGAGGUUCAUCAGUGCCUGUUAAGUACCCUGAUCCAAAUGUAAACUCCAGUUAAAUAUGUUCCUAAACUGGAAACUACUAGUAAGGGAAGUGUUCUUGUGAAAGAAACACUGUUUAAUUGCUUUGUUUUUAAUCAGAUUUUCUUCAGCUGACAUCUCUGAUUCCAGACUAGGUAGAGCCUCAUUCUGAGUGUAUAGAAUUUUAAAUAUUCGACCUUCCUUUCAUGUAAUAACUUUACUCUUUCCAAAUGGAGAUCUUGCCAUUUAAGACAUACUUGCUAGCAAUAUUCAGUAUUCCAGGAGAUGCCAGGCAGGAUUUGCUGAAGAGACACCUUUGCCCAUGCCACAUUUUCAAAGGAAUUUUAGUGAGAUGUCUGUGGGGACUGAGUUUGGUUAGCAUCAUUCAGAAGUUUAGUCACUGUCUUUUUUUUCUCAUUUGUCCGGGAAAAGACUGAACUUAUGCCAGCUAAGAUCACUACCCUUCAGAAAGUAGUGUCUGAGACCUUAUUGUGGUAUGAAGAGAUACAGAGACCACACUACCUAGCUCUGGAAAAGCAUAGCUGGGAUUUGAGAAGGUCUUGCAGGGAUUAGUAGAAUGCAAUGGAAAACAGACUUCAAUUUCUCUAAACCUGUGCUAUGGAAAGUAAGACUGCAAUCACAAAGUCCUGGAGAAGGGCUCUUUCUGCACCACUUUUGGGAGGCUGAAGGGCUCUUCCACCACUGAUACAUUUGUUAGGUAUGACAAAGAGGAAGGUCACACGCUCUGGCAUGCUGGCUGUAUUGCUAAUGUGCUGCUUCAAAGAAAUUGAAGGCAGUUAGGAAAGUAUAUGUAUGUACAGAGAAAUUAAUCAGUGUUUAUAAACAUAGAAACAGAUUUCUGCUAGUUAUUUCUAAUAAAUCUGGAAUUACUUUAA